ACAGGCUUAACACAUGCAAGUCGAGGGGCAGCAUUGGAGUAGCAAUACUUCAGAUGGCGACCGGCGCACGGGUGAGUAACACGUAUCCAACCUGCCGCUUACUCGGGGAUAGCCUUUCGAAAGAAAGAUUAAUACCCGAUGGUAUAAAGAGUUCGCAUGUUCUCUUUAUUAAAGAAUUUCGGUAAGCGAUGGGGAUGCGUUCCAUUAGAUAGUUGGCGGGGUAACGGCCCACCAAGUCUACGAUGGAUAGGGGUUCUGAGAGGAAGGUCCCCCACAUUGGAACUGAGACACGGUCCAAACUCCUACGGGAGGCAGCAGUGAGGAAUAUUGGUCAAUGGACGAGAGUCUGAACCAGCCA
rnacentral:rRNA from 1 species